rnacentral:ncRNA from 2 species
CUCUUAUUCAGAGUGAUGGAGAUACAUAGGAUCGAUGAAGUCACGGCAACCCCUCUUUACGGAAGGUGCCAACCUGAGCGAGUAUUUAUGGCAGCGCAGAUCAGGA